UAUGUUUUAGUCAAAUAUAUUUGUUUGGGCUUCUUGCGUUACAUUUUUUGGUUUACAAAUUAUUUAUAAUUAUGUUCCGGCCCCCUGACCAUCCGCUCAAGAAAAAAAAUGGCCCCCUACUGAAUCUAGUUUAUGAUCCCUGUUCUACUGGACACAAUAGCAUGUUAGACACUGUGCCACAGAUAGAUGGAGAGUGCAAGUACAGUGAAAACAUGCUGCUGUGGGAAUCUCCUGACACAUAAACAAAUGUUGAGUUGCAGCUUCAAAGGGCACUGGGUCAUGCUUCAUUUAUUUCAAGAGGAUACAAUGUUUCCAAACAAAAGUGGACAGCUUCAUCCCUAGGUCAUUGGUGGGAAUGCUUACAUAUUUGUAAUGUGUAACUGAUUUCCUCUUCCUCUGCUGUGCUUUGUGCAGGGGAAAGCCGGGACUGAAUGCUGACAUGAAUGAUGACAGUGAUGGAGCUGGAUAUCCUCUAUUCUCGUUUGUCGAUGAAAGCAUUUUCAAAAAGGAGUCUUUCUUCGGUAAACGCUUGAGGUGUGAGAGUUAGCGCUUCCAUUUUUAUGAACUUUUGAUUUCAACCAUUUCCUGUGUGUUACCAUUAUUUUCCUUUGGAAAUCCUAUCAUAUCUGCAAUGUAUUACGUACGUAGAGAGUAGCAGGAGUUCAAGUAUAAUUGAACAUGAUACAAACAGGACGUGUACUGACAUCCAGGAGGAUUGGAUAGACAAAACAAAAUAUUCCUUUUGUAUGAUCAGAACACAUGCUACCCUCGAAACCGAUAUGCAUGUCCUCUUCCAGCCUUUAUCUCUCUACUGGAUAACUAUGAAAGUGAUACUGGUGAGCCUGAGACUGUAACCCUAGAGGAGGAAGCAGAAAACCACAAGUUUCUGGACUGCAUGCUUCGAAUGCCCACCCUGAAGUUAUCAGUUAAAACAUAUGGUGGAGAGGUCGGUAACAAGAAUAAUGUAUCUUUAUUUAGUCUGGUGAGUAGGAACAUAAGUCAAAUCACAGAUGCAUGCAGAAAAAGUUAAAAACCAUUUUAAUGUCACAUCAAUUCACAGGGAGAACCAUGGCCAAGUUGGAACCUUUACAAGCUAAAGUGAGUCAAUCAACACCCCAUGAUUGAAAUUGUCUCCAUAUGUUUCUCUCAUUUUUAGAUUGCACAUAAGUACCUAGUAGAGAAACAGCUCUCCCCAGAGGGAUUACCGGAAUUCAAGGAGCAGCUCUACCAUAUCUGGUUUGUGCUGUACGCCAGACGAGGAACUAGCAGGCCGGACUCCUCGGGGUUUGAGCAUGUCUUUGUCGGAGAGACCAGAGGGGGCCGCACAGUCAUCGGCUUUCAUAACUGGAUCCAGUUGUAUAUGCAAGUGAAGCUGGGAAACAUUGAUUAAAGUGUGAAUGCAAAUUCUCCCUAGGUUAGAUUUGUUUUAAACUGGCAUGAUGAAUGUAUGUUUUGAUUAUCAUGUUGAAUCAGAUGUGCGACGUUGAUGAGUUGACAGUUAACAAUUCCAGAGUAUUCUUUAGAAAUGAUGUGAUAUACACUGCUCAAAAAAAUUAAGGGAACACUUAAACAACACAAUGUAACUCCAAGUCAAUCACACUUCUGUGAAAUCAAACUGUCCACUUAGGAAGCAACACUGAUUGACAAUAAAUUUCACAUGCUGUUGUGCAAAUGGAAUAGACAACAGGAGGAUAUUAUAGACAAUUAACAAGACACCCACCAAUAAAGGAGUGGUUCUGCAGGUGGUGACCACAGACCACUU